UAGGUGGUUAGCAUACUUGCCUCUCACGCAGGAUACCAGGGUUCGAGUCCCUGUA
rnacentral:tRNA from 17 species